GAUACAGGUGGUGCAUGGUUGUCGUCAGCUCGUGUCGUGAGAUGUUGGGUUAAGUCCCGCAACGAGCGCAACCCUUAUCUUCAGUAGCCAGCAUAUAAGAUGGGCACUCUGGAGAGACUGCCGUGGAUAACACGGAGGAAGGUGGGGAUGACGUCAAAUCAUCAUGCCCCUUAUGUCUUGGGCAACACACGUGCUACAAUGGCUAGAAACAAAGUGAAGCGAGACGGUGACGUUAAGCAAAGCACAAAAACCUAGUCCCAGUUCGGAUUGUAGUCUGCAACUCGAGUACAUGAAGCUGGAAUCGCUAGUAAUCGCAAAUCAGAAUGUUGCGGUGAAUACGUUCCCGGGCCUUGUACACACCGCCCGUCACACCAUGGGAGUUGGAAGCGCCCGAAGCCGAUGACCCAACCUGCGAGGGAGGGAGUCGCCGAAGGUGAAGCCAGUGACUGGGGUGAAGUCGUAACAAGGUAGCCGUAUCGGAAGGUGCGGUUGGAUCACCUC
rnacentral:rRNA from 1 species